CACCACGCGCCAUUGGAGGUUGAGCUUGACAGGUUGUUACUCAGAAGUAGGACACGUCAGGUUGGGUUGGAGGUGGCAAUAGUAUAGAAAAUGUGUCCUAAAAACAGCCCCAAGAAGUCUAGUCUCUUGGUUACAAUUAUAACAAACUCUAAAACCCCAUAGUUCAUGAGGCUAGGUCAGUGGCUCUCAACUUGUGGACCCCCAGGUGUUUUGGCCUACCACACCAGAAAUCCCAGCCAGUUUACCCUGGGAGUUGAAGGCCAAAACAUCGGGGGCCCACAGAUUGAGAACCACUGGGCUAGGUGAAGUGUGUUAAGGUAUGUAAGAAAUCAGUUAAUGUGUGUAUCAACUGCAAAAAAAGAUGCGUGAAGCUGAUUGGUUGAGCCAUGUCUGGAGAGUUGUUCAGCCGCUCCAACAUGCAGGCAACACUGGGGAGACUUUGCAGUCCUUUGCCAUCCUGAGAAACAAAGGCCUCUCCAAGCUCAUCUCACGUUACUACUUUGCUGACAUCACUUUCAGCUGAUAGAAUAAACUACCUUGGUGGCUUCAUGUUCAAACUUGAGCUGACCAUUGCAUUGGAUAGACCACAUCAGCUCUAGAUUAUUAAAUAUGGUUUGCUGUGGGCGACCAAAUGGCGACUACUGGAUGGCAUAUGUUCUGUAUCAGAAACUAGAGCUGAUGUGGUCUAUUCAAUGCUGUUUUCUGAAUCAGCACUGCAAAUAACUAAACCGAAUCUAAAGUUGACCAAAAACUGGUUCGUAACCCUUUGGUACUAAUGUUGGAGAGUGGUCCCUGGUCAAAGUGGUCCCUGGUCAAGUGGACCUUGGUCAACAAAAGGUUGGGAACCACUGCUUAAAAGGUUUAGUAGAAGACAUAGUCCUUUUUCAGUGAGAAACAUUUUUUGUUUUUCUAGUAUACAUUAAGGUGCAACAAACUUCAUCAAGCUUUGUUUAGUAAGGAAUGAUGUCAAUACAUCUUAAGCAAGGACACACUUGGUGACUAGCCUACUUUCUGUCAGCCUAACUUCCUUCACAGGACUGCCAUGAGGAUAAGAUGAAGCAAUCCCCAUUUAUGCCACUUGAUGUUUCUUAAAAGAAAAGUGGGAAACAAAUGUGAUUCUGCGCCAGUUACAGACAAGGAGGGAUUUGGCCGGAGUCACUUAGAAAAAAAAUCGGUUUCUGGUUUGACAGUGUUAUCUGUGUUUAAUUGUGUGGUACUUACUUUGAAAGCCAUUGUUAUACUCCAGAAACUUCAUUUUUUGUGGCUGCAGUUUAAUGUUUUCCAUGUUUUUUUUAAGGAUAACCCAGGAAUGAAAAUUGUGUUAGUGUUAUGAAGAAUUUGUGGCCCUUCAAAUUUUAGCUCCAACUCCCAGAAACCCAAGAAUCAAGGAUGAUUGGGGUUUUAUAGUCCAACAUCUGGAGAGGGCAGCUUCUCAAUAAUAAUAAUUUAUUUGUUUGACCAUUUCAAAGUGCAACACAAAUAAAAAAAAGGCAGAAAGGACGGGAGGACAGCAGCUGACCUUCUGUUUGCCGUCAAAAUCUUAUUUUCCUGAUUCUUUUUUCAGGAAAUGUGCUCUUUUCUUGGUAGCUUUCAGGAUAAAAAGGCUUACUCUGAUUAUGGUGGAUCUUUCUCGUCCUUGUAAAAGGAAUGUAAAAAGAUAAUUUCUGUUGGGAGACCUAAAAUUAGAUAGUAAUGGAUGUAAAUAUCUGUGUCGAAGUUCAGCAUAUGCUGGGCAGUCAAUCAAAAAAUGUUCAAUAUCUUCCACUAUUUGUUCUCCUCUGACACAAAAUCUUUCAUUUCUUGGGAUGUUACAGUAGCGACCAGUUUGCAUCAUAAUACUGAGUUGUUCAAACCUGGCCCUGGUAUAUAUUCUUCAUAAGGGUAACGGAACUGGAAUAGUCAGAUAGUGUUCUAAAUGAAUAUUCAUUUUGUGGGAAGCUAAAAACUUUGUGGUACUACCUAUACUUGCUAGGUCCAAUUGAGCAUAGAUAUCAUGAGUGCGUUGCAUGAGCACUUGUUUUGCUCUAGGUCCUAGAUCAUUCAGAAAUUGUAAGGGAAGGCCAAUUUUAGCCAUCAAGGGAAGCUUCUCAAUGUCUUCCAUAAAAUCAUGAAAGCCAUUGGAGCACCACACCACUGGCUGUAUUAUGGCAGAGACCAACAACCGUAAUGCAAUCUGAAGGCAACAAAGAAUAUUGUGGCAUACUAAAAGAAUCAUAGAUUCCAGCCACUAAAGUAUAUGCUACAAUUCUAGCACAAUACUAUAUAUGUUGACUUGUAAGUUCUACGGUGUCCAUGGAGCUGAAGUCCUGAGAAAUGGGCACAAUAGGGAUGAAUGAGCAACCCUUGGGAAUCCAGGCAUCAAUUCUUGUCCUCAAUAGGGAGCUCCAAAAAAGGACGGUUGGGAAGUCACACAGAGAAACAGGGGAUGGGGUUUUUGUGCUAUUUUGCAGUUACUUCUGGAGCUUCUUUUUUAAUUUUUAAUUUAUUUUAUUGACUUUGUUUUAUAUUCUGACCUCAACAUAAUACAAUAGUAAUAGAAAAUACAUAAACUCGCAAACACAAAAAUAAAAACAGUGAUAUAUAGAACAUGAUAAACAGUAUUACAACCAUAUUAAAACCAAUUAUAUUAAAAUCCAAUUCCAUCUCAUUACCAUAGUUGAGUCCAGCAGCCAUUUCACACAAUUGGUUACCCAUUGUCUUCCCCAAAAGCUUCCUUCCAGAGAAAGUUUUUAACUUGCUUUCUGAAGGAUAACAGGGAGGAAGCCAUUCUGAUGUCCCUAGGGAGGGCAUUCCAGAGCCAGGGAGCCAUUGCCGAGAAGGCCCCCUCUCUCGUUCCCACCAACCGCACCUGAGACAAAGAUGGGACCAAGAGUAGGGCCUCCCCAGAAGGUCGUAAAGUUCGAGUAGGCUCAUAUCAGGAAAUGUAAUCGGAUAAGUUGGGCCUGAACCAUUCAGGGCUUUAAAGGUUAACACCAGCACCCAGAAUUGUGCCCAGAAGCAAAAUGGUGGCCAGUGGAGAUGCUGCACUAUUUUAAGGUUGACCAAUCCCUGUACUGCGCACCGGUAAGCAGCCUGGCCGCAGAUCUUUGGACCAGCUGAAGCUUCCGAAUGGUCUUGUUGAGCAUUCCUAUGUAGAGCACAUUAAUCGAAUCUGGAUGUGACAAGGGCAUGGGCCACUGUGGCCAAGUUUGAUUUCUCAAGGUAUGGGUGCAGUUGGCAUACAAGUUUUAAUUGUGCGACACUUGGGCCUCCAAGCUGCAAACCUGCAUCUUCAGGGGGAGUAUAACCCCGUCUAACACAGGCUGUAACCCUAUACCCUGAUCAGCCUUCUGACUGACCAGGAGGACCUGUUUUGUCAGGAUUGAGUUUCAGUUUGUUUGUUUCAUCCAGUCCGUUACUGCCAUCAGGCAUUGCUUUUAGGAUCAGAAUGGCUUCCUUAGAAUUAGGUGGAAAAGAGUAGUAGAGUUGGGUGUCCUCUGUGUAGAGGUGACACUGCAUUCCAAAACUCCAGAUGAUCUCACCCACAGGCUUCAUGUGAUGUUAAAGAGCACAGGGGAUAGAACAGACCCCUAUGGAACCCCAUAGGACAAAGGCCAGGGGUUCGAGCAGGAGUCCUCCAGCACUACCUUCUGGGACCGGCUCUCCAAGGACUGGAACCACAGCAAAACAGUGCCCCCGCAGCCCCAUUCUGGUGAGCUAGCCCAGGAGGAUAUCAUGAUCGAUGGUAUCAAAAACUUCUGAGAUGUCCAAGAGAACUAACAGGGACAACCCCGCCGCCCGGUUGAGCUUUCUGCAGAGGUUAUCCACCAAAACAACCAAAGCUGUUUCCGUUCCAUGGCCAGGCCUGAAGCCGGACUGGUAGGGAUCUAAAUAAUUCAUUUUUUUCCAGAAUCGCUGGAGCUGCAAAGCCACCACAUGUCCCAGAACCUUGACGAGAAAAAGAAGAUUUGAUACUGGCUGAGAAUUAUUAUUUUAACCCUUUAUGAGGUUUUUUUUUGGGGGGGGGGGCAAAGUGGGCAAAAACAGUGCAGUCUACUUGAUUCCUACACUAGAGCAACAUGCAACUGCCAUAUGAGAUUGUCUUGGUCUUUAAAAAGUGUCACCAAACUUCCUAAACAGCUAGUUCUCUGGAUUUCGUUACAUUCUGAAUGCAUGCUACAAACCUCUUCCAGCUGCCCUUACUUCAAAUUAAAAUUGAAAUCUCACACACCAUAAAGUUUUAAUAACAUUCAAAAAAAACUGGCACAAUUUACAAAUGCAUAGAAAGAUCAGAUUGGAACAUAUUAAAUGUAAUCUGUACUACAUUUAAAUGAUAAGUCAAAGAUUUUGAGAAUGCUCAUUUAUUAAGUAUUGUUUUUUUUAAAAUAAAAAGAGCACUUACAUCUUCAAAAAUAGCAUUUACAAAGGUAAAGAAAUAUCAGUACAAAACAUCAGUCUUUUUUCUAUUACAAAUAUGUAAACAAGCAGACCAUUUAUUAUUAAAGCUUUCAGUCUGUAAAGUUAAGAUGAAUCCAGAUAUUGAAACUACCAGCUGUAAGAACUGGUAAGUAGAAGGCAGUAAUUGAAUACAGUUUAAAAUGUUUCUUUUUCAUAUGCUGUUAUUGCAUAAUACUUUAUAUAACAGUGACCUAAUGGAAGCCCCAUAUCUUUUCUACAUUACCUUACAGUAAAGCCACCUUAUACACAAUUCAAUAUCCAAGGUUUAACUUACCCACACUUAAAUAUAUAUAUAUCCCCAGAAGUAUCUGUGGGCUUCUCUAGGUCCUCCAGUGCAAUUCUGUGGUUUGCUUACAGCCCAAGUAUAGGAUUCACUAUUAUCUUGGGGGGGGGGGGGUCUUCGAAUGUAUCCCCAACAGAGUUCUAGUGUAUUUUCUGACAGUGUACAUGCCAGAAAUUACAUUUUAAAUUCUAGUAUUUCCAUUGCCACUGUUUGAAUCCAAGAAGGUAAAGAAAAGUUAUUGGCCCAGGAAGAUCUGGCCAGUCAAGAGCUCUCCUAGGUGCUUUCCUCUCAUAAGUGUUUUUAAGUAUUAAUUACAAUAUUUUGGCGAGAACCGUAUCAGCAUACUAACGAUGAAAUGUACAAAGCAAACUUUAAACUUGCCUCCCCUCAAACCCAUCUGGCAAGGUUCUUUUUUGAAUAAAUUCACAAAUUGAAGCAUUAGAAUCCAUCAUUACACAACUGCUUCCUAUUCCAUAUCCUUUAAAAUUACCUGGCUUACUCAUUUGUGAAAAGGAAGACACAAGCUGGAAAGGACCUAUUACAAUGCUGAUUUCCAGCAGCAGAUUAAAAUCAAAAUACAGCAUUAAAAUGCAAACUAAAAACAAGGAUGUGUUCUUUUAGAAGAGGUAUAGUUGAAACAAUUGCCUGCUGACUGAGUGCAUUUCCUAUCAGUCUUAGUUAGCCUAAAGCAGUGGUUACCAACCUUUGAUACUCCUGGUGUUUUGGACUUCAGCUCCCACAACUCCUAGCAAAUAAUAAAUUGGCUAGGAUUAAUGGGAACUGAAGUCCAAGACAACUAGCAGACCAAAGGUUGGGAACCACAGGCCUAGACAAAGAUGAGAAAUCAUGCAAGUCAUAGUCAAUAUCUGGUAGGUCACAAAUUACCCACUCCUGUUACAGAACUAAAUUCUCAACUUGCUAAAGAACUAGAUUUAAAAUAGCCUAUAUUUUGUUUACUAACCAUCUGCAAAACAGCAAGCCUUGUGAAAGAUACUCCUGGGAUCGUUUAUCUCCUCUGAUUCAUAUAUCUUAAUCUAUUCUCCUUAUAUUGAGUGUAAUCACAUUAACAGCUACAGUAAAAUGUAAUGGCAAGCAUUCUUUCUACAAUAUUGAAUUCUAUUUCUGAAGCUUGCAGCAGUAUAGAGAAAAAAGGCACUUGGGCUUCCAAAAUGUGGCAAGCUUCUAAUUUUUAGGAGAAAUAGUUAAUUCUUUUCUACAGAAGGAACACUCCUACAUGCAUGUUAACUCUUAUAUAUACUGUUAACACUUAUAUACUGUCAACCAUUUGGACAUUUCUAUGCAUUAAGAAAGCUAUAUUUUUCUGGAAUCUAUUUAUCUUACGUUAAAGCUUAGUACCAAGAGAUAUAACAGUAACUUUUUUUCAAGUAUUCAGAUUCCAGCACUGUGAUCAGCCUUAAAAUGUGGAUCUCAUUUCAUGAUAUUUUCUUUUAAAAAAUAAUUUAACAACCAAAGGAUUAACAUGAUUCUUUUCAUCCAGAUGCCAAUAUUAAAACUCCUGGUUAUCCCAAGAGAUCAGAAGAUUUACCCAACAAGAACGAUCUCAUGCUUUGUGUUCUCCGGAGACCUCUCUGAGUAAACAUCUCAUCUUCUGAGUAGGUCCCUUCCCUCUCCUCAUCUGUUUUAUCAUCUUCAGAAUCAUUUUUCACUGGAAUACUGUAACCUGAGAUGACAAGGUUAAAAAUGCAAAGCACUGUAAUUUAAAGCAAUCACUUGUAAUUAUUGACCUUUUAAAAAGUCAGAAAAUAUGGGUUGCUCUGCUUCUGGUUUUUCCAAAUGCUAGCUAUGAAGUGCACCAAAGAACUGCACAAAAAUCCACAUACUCAAAGUUGUUGAGAGCAGUUUUCUCUGAAAAGUUACAUUUAAAACCAAGACAGCUUUCAAAUGCAACAUAUGCAAUAUGGAUAUUUGCUAUUAAAAGGGAAAACCACAUUUAAAAACUGGACAGGCUUUAAACCUUAGAUGCAGCAAAAUUAUGACUGGAUCUCAGCAACAGUGUUAAACAGCAUUUAGCUGCUUUCUCACAUCUUCAUUCAUUUCUUGAACAAUGCAAUUCUGUGAAAUCUGCACUAAAGGGCACUAUGCCAACCUUGCUGAACACUUUGUUACCUUGUAAAAAUUUUGAGCUGUAUCCUAGAGCACAAAGCAAACAAGACUCGGCUUAAUGCAGUGGCAGAGAAGUAAUGAUCGGUUAAAGAUAGCACUUUAUCUUUAUCAAGACCAUGUUAAUACAGUUGAGAGACAGUGAGAGGGCACACUUUUUGUAAGGCAAGAUAAAGGGAAAUAUAAUACAAAUUGUUCGGAAAGUAACAUGAACCUAUAGCUAUUCCAGUCUGAUUUGCGUAAGUAAGGUAGUCUCAUUUUUCAGAAAUGCUUAUCUUUCUG